GACGUAGGGAGCAAGCGUUGUUCGGAUUUACUGGGCGUAAAGGGCGCGUAGGCGGCGCGGUAAGUCUGCUGUGAAAGUCCAGGGCUCAACCCUGGGAUGCCGGUGGAUACUGUCGAGCUCGAGUCCGGAAGAGGCGAGUGGAAUUCCUGGUGUAGCGGUGAAAUGCGCAGAUAUCAGGAGGAACACCAAUGGCGAAGGCAGCUCGCUGGGACGUGACUGACGCUGAGACGCGAAAGCGUGGGGAGCAAACAGG
rnacentral:rRNA from 1 species